CACCGAUUGAAAAUUGAGUGGCGAACGGGUGAGUAACACGUGGGUAACCUGCCCAAAAGAGGGGGAUAACACUUGGAAACAGGUGCUAAUACCGCAUAACCAUGAUGACCGCAUGGUCAUUAUGUAAAAGAUGGUUUCGGCUAUCACUUUUGGAUGGACCCGCGGCGUAUUAACUUGUUGGUGGGGUAACGGCCUACCAAGGUAAUGAUACGUAGCCGAACUGAGAGGUUGAUCGGCCACAUUGGGACUGAGACACGGCCCAAACUCCUACGGGAGGCAGCAGUAGGGAAUCUUCCACAAUGGGCGCAAGCCUGAUGGAGCAACGCCGCGUGAGUGAAGAAGGUCUUCGGAUCGUAAAACUCUGUUGUUAGAGAAGAACAUGCAGGAGAGUAACUGUUCUUGUAUUGACGGUAUCUAACCAGAAAGCCACGGCUAACUACGUGCCAGCAGCCGCGGUAAUACGUAGGUGGCAAGCGUUGUCCGGAUUUAUUGGGCGUAAAGGGAACGCAGGCGGUCCUUUAAGUCUGAUGUGAAAGCCUUCGGCUUAACCGAAGAGUUGCAUUGGAAACUGGAGGACUUGAGUGCAGAAGAGGAGAGCGGAACUCCAUAUGUAGCGGUGAAAUGCGUAGAUAUAUGGAAGAACACCAGUGGCGAAAGCGGCUCUCUGGUCUGUAACUGACGCUGAGGUUCGAAAGUGUGGGUAGCAAACAGGAUUAGAUACCCUGGUAGUCCACACCGUAAACGAUGAAUGCUAGGUGUUGGAGGGUUUCCGCCCUUCAGUGCUGCAGCUAACGCAAUAAGCAUUCCGCCUGGGGAGUACGACCGCAAGGUUGAAACUCAAAGGAAUUGACGGG
rnacentral:rRNA from 1 species